GAAUGCUGACAUAAGUAACGAUAAUGCGGGUGAAAAACCCGCACGCCGGAAGACCAAGGGUUCCUGUCCAACGUUAAUCGGGGCAGGGUGAGUCGACCCCUAAGGCGAGGCCGAAAGGCGUAGUCGAUGGGAAACAGGUUAAUAUUCCUGUACCUGGUGUUACUGCGAAGGGGGGACGGAGAAGGCUAUGUUGGCCGGGCGACGGUUGUCCCGGUUUAAGCGUGUAGGCUGGUUUUCCAGGCAAAUCCGGAAAAUCAAGGCUGAGGCGUGACGACGAGGCACUACGGUGCUGAAGCAACAAAUGCCCUGCUUCCAGGAAAAGCCUCUAAGCCUCAGGUAACAUCAGAUCGUACCCGAAACCGACACAGGUGGUCAGGUAGAGAAUACCAAGGCGCUUGAGAGAACCCGGGUGAAGGAACUAGGCAAAAUGGUGCCGUAACUUCGGGAGAAGGCACGCUGACACGUAGGUGAAGCGGUUUACCCGUGGAGCUGAAGUCAGUCGAAGAUACCAGCUGGCUGCAACUGUUUAUUAAAAACACAGCACUGUGCAAACACGAAAGUGGACGUAUACGGUGUGACGCCUGCCCGGUGCCGGAAGGUUAAUUGAUGGGGUCAGCGCAAGCGAAGCUCCUGAUCGAAGCCCCGGUAAACGGCGGCCGUAACUAUAACGGUCCUAAGGUAGCGAAAUUCCUUGUCGGGUAAGUUCCGACCUGCACGAAUGGCGUAAUGAUGGCCAGGCUGUCUCCACCCGGGACUCAGUGAAAUUGAACUCGCUGUGAAGAUGCAGUGUACCCGCGGCAAGACGGAAAGACCCCGUGAACCUUUACUAUAGCUUGACACUGAACACUGGUCCUUGAUGUGCAGGAUAGGUGGGAGGCUUUGAAGUGUGGACGCCAGUCUGCAUGGAGCCGUCCUUGAAAUACCACCCUUUAAUGGCUGGUGUUCUAACGUAGACCCGUGAACCGGGUUGCGGACAGUGUCUGGUGGGUAGUUUGACUGGGGCGGUCUCCUCCUAAAGCGUAACGGAGGAGCACGAAGGUUGGCUAAUCCUGGUCGGACAUCAGGAGGUUAGUGCAAUGGCAUAAGCCAGCUUGACUGCGAGCGUGACGGCGCGAGCAGGUGCGAAAGCAGGUCAUAGUGAUCCGGUGGUUCUGAAUGGAAGGGCCAUCGCUCAACGGAUAAAAGGUACUCCGGGGAUAACAGGCUGAUACCGCCCAAGAGUUCAUAUCGACGGCGGUGUUUGGCACCUCGAUGUCGGCUCAUCACAUCCUGGGGCUGAAGUAGGUCCCAAGGGUAUGGCUGUUCGCCAUUUAAAGUGGUACGCGAGCUGGGUUUAGAACGUCGUGAGACAGUUCGGUCCCUAUCUGCCGUGGGCGCUGGAGAACUGAGGGGGGCUGCUCCUAGUACGAGAGGACCGGAGUGGACGCAUCACUGGUGUUCGGGUUGUCAUGCCAAUGGCACUGCCCGGUAGCUAAAUGCGGAAGAGAUAAGUGCUGAAAGCAUCUAAGCACGAAACUUGCCCCGAGAUGAGUUCUCCCUGAGACUACAAGUCUCCUGAAGGAACGUUGAAGACGACGACGUUGAUAGGCCGGGUGUGUAAGCGCAGCGAUGCGUUGAGCUAACCGGUACUAAUGAACCGUGAGGCUUAACCUUACAACGCCGAAG
rnacentral:rRNA from 1 species